rnacentral:rRNA from 1 species
UGAGGAAUAUUGGUCAAUGGACGAGAGUCUGAACCAGCCAAAUCGCGUGAAGGAAGACUGCCCUACGGGUUGUAAACUUCUUUUGUACAGGAAUAAAAGACAUUACGUGUAAUGUAUUGCAUGCACUGUACGAAUAAGCAUCGGCUAACUCCGUGCCAGCAGCCGCGGUAAUACGGAGGAUGCGAGCGUUAUCCGGAUUUAUUGGGUUUAAAGGGUGCGCAGGCGGGAUUUUAAGUCAGCGGUGAAAUUUUCAGGCUCAACCUGAACACUGCCGUUGAAACUGGGAUUCUUGAGUAUGGAUGAAGUAGGCGGAAUUCGUUGUGUAGCGGUGACAUGCUUAGAUAUAACGAGGAACUCCGAUUGCGUAGGCAGCUUACUAAGCCAUAACUGACGCUCAAGCACGAAAGCGUGGGGAUCAAACA